AUGUGGAUGUGGCCAUUGGAGCUGCGCCGCCGCACCAGCCACCCCCUCCCCCCCCCGCCUCCGCCGCCAGGGUCGGAAGAUUCGCCGGAUCGGGCGGGCGGUGAUGGUGGAAAUGGGUGCCCACCGCCGGAGUUUCCUGGGGGCAGCAGAUUGGGCUCGGCGGGCUCGUCGGUAGCUUCGGCACCGCCACCGCCGGCGAGGCGGGCUCCCAGACAGAGCCAGCUAGUACAAGGUGGGCCAGCGGCUGCAGGCCACUUUUCCAGGGAUCAGGCUGACAAAGGUGCUGCUGUUACCAUGCAAAGUGGAGCUGUGACGUUGGCUAGCAGCCAAAACGGCCGUUUGACUGGUCAGAUACACAGCCCCGUCCGCGCUAGCCAAUUGGAGACUCAGGUGGAAAGCUGCGCUUCGUGCGUCGGUAUUCGCGGGCCUGUCUUGGGAGAGAGGCAGCACGUUUCCCCUGCCUCUGUGGGUCCGCGGAGGUGGCCCCUGCCCACUCAGGAGGUGCCCAAGGUGGUCGUGGGAUCGAUGCAGCUACAACUAUCCAUGGGAUCAGUGCCCUUCCUGGUGCAUGCCGGUGAUAAAGCGGCCAACGCGCACAUGCUGGCGCCAAGCCAGGAUGGUCCUACCUCGUUCAAAUCACCAGAUGGCGACAAGGAGUGGAUGGAUGGCUCAUGGGACAACACCAGCAUCAAGGAGGACCUAGUUGGGCGGCCAUCAAUUGGGGAGCAGGUGGACUCGGUGGCCUCGCGACAGGAUUUGUUCCUGGUCAGUCUGUCGGGCGGCUCGGGUGACGACACGUGCCCAGUCACAAUUGGGGAAUCGCCAUGCACCCCAUACAUGGCCCAACGCAGUCUGGUGGAGGCUCUUUGUGAGGAGAUUCGAAAAGCCAUCACCCCGGUUCUAGCCAUGCUCCUAAACCAUGAGGAUAAUGGCAUCAAGCAGCGGCAGUGGCAUAAAAGGCCACCAAAAUCAAACCCGAGAAGGAGCGUCAGGUUGGCCAAGGCACUUGGCCGUGGAGGGAAUGCGACGAAGCAACAGAAUGUCCUGAUACGCAAACUCUGCCUUGCAAAUGAAGGAGAAUCCAUCAGCGAUGUGGCGCUACAGGCAUACGUGCAACUUUUCGACAACCCACUGUCGGACGAGCACAUCAGUGCCAUUCUUGCCCUGUUUGGUUGGGAGCCUUCUACCUUGCCGCUCUCUAUGCAAGACGAAGGGGUGGUGGACGGCCUUUGA
rnacentral:rRNA from 1 species